GCUUGGUGUUGGACGGUUGGUGGCGGUAACGUCACCCCUCCCAAAGACAAUGACGGCGGCCUCGUUGGACCCCCGGUACACUGAGUUCCUCACCGAACACGUAUCGGAUCAAGGGUGCGCGAGCCACGGUCUGCCUCCCCUCAGGGAGAACUUUUAUCAAGGUUGACCUCGGAUCAGGUAGGGAUACCCGCUGAACUUAA
rnacentral:misc_RNA from 1 species